rnacentral:rRNA from 1 species
GACAGGGGUCUCGAGCGUUAAUCGGAAUCACUGGGCUUAAAGGGUGCGUAGGCGGACCCGAACGCGUCCCGUGAAAUCCCCCGGCUCAACCGGGGAACUGCGGGGCGAACGGUGGGUCUCGAGGCAGGUAGGGGUCGCCGGAACCGUAGGUGGAGCGGUGAAAUGCGUAGAUAUCUACGGGAACGCCGAUGGUGAAGACGGGCGACUGGGCCUGUCCUGACGCUGAGGCACGAAAGCGUGGGGAGCAAAC